rnacentral:rRNA from 1 species
UACAGAGGGUGCGAGCGUUAAUCGGAAUUACUGGGCGUAAAGCGUGCGUAGACGGUUAUUUAAGUCGGGUGUGAAAGCCCCGGGCUCAACCUGGGAAUUGCAUUCGAGACUGAAUAGCUAGGGUACGGUAGAGGGAAGUGGAAUUUCCGGUGUAGCGGUGAAAUACGUAGAUAUCGGAAGGAACAUCAGUGGCGAAAGCGACUUCCUGGACCAGUACCGACGUUCAGGCACGAAAGCGUGGGGAGCAAACAGGA